rnacentral:rRNA from 1 species
AGUGAACGCUGGCGGUAGGCCUAACACAUGCCAGUCGAACGGCAGCACAGUAAGAGCUUGCUCUUACGGGUGGCGAGUGGCGGACGGGUGAGGAAUACAUCGGAAUCUACUUUUUCGUGGGGGAUAACGUAGGGAAACUUACGCUAAUACCGCAUACGACCUACGGGUGAAAGCAGGGGAUCUUCGGACCUUGCGCGAUUGAAUGAGCCGAUGUCGGAUUAGCUAGUUGGCGGGGUAAAGGCCCACCAAGGCGACGAUCCGUAGCUGGUCUGAGAGGAUGAUCAGCCACACUGGAUCUGAGACACGGUCCAGACUCCUACGGGAGGCAGCAGUGGGGAAUAUUGGACAAUGGGCGCAAGCCUGAUCCAGCCAUACCGCGUGGGUGAAGAAGGCCUUCGGGUUGUAAAGCCCUUUUGUUGGGAAAGAAAAGCAGCAGGUUAAUACCCCGCUGUUCUGACGGUACCCAAAGAAUAAGCACCGGCUAACUUCGUG